rnacentral:rRNA from 1 species
UACGUAGGCAGCGAGCGUUGUUCGGAAUUACUGGGCGUAAAGAGUGUGUAGGCGGUGCUCUAAGUCUGGUGUGAAAUCUCCCGGCUUAACUGGGAGGGUGCGCCGAAGACUGGAAGGCUUGAGUAUGGGAGAGGUAAGCGGAAUUCCUGGUGUAGCGGUGAAAUGCGUAGAUAUCAGGAGGAACACCUGCGGUGUAGACGGCUUACUGGACCAUCACUGACGCUGAGGCACGAAAGCGUGGGGAGCAAACAGG